rnacentral:rRNA from 1 species
AGCGAACGCUGGCGGCAGGCCUAACACAUGCAAGUCGAACGAACUCUUCGGAGUUAGUGGCGGACGGGUGAGUAACACGUGGGAACGUGCCUUUUGGUUCGGAAUAACUCAGGGAAACUUGUGCUAAUACCGAAUGUGCCCUUCGGGGGAAAGAUUUAUCGCCAUUAGAGCGGCCCGCGUCUGAUUAGCUAGUUGGUGAGGUAACGGCUCACCAAGGCGACGAUCAGUAGCUGGUCUGAGAGGAUGACCAGCCACACUGGGACUGAGACACGGCCCAGACUCCUACGGGAGGCAGCAGUGGGGAAUCGUGCGCAAUGGGCGAAAGCCUGACGCAGCCAUGCCGCGUGAAUGAUGAAGGUCUUAGGAUUGUAAAAUUCUUUCGCCGGGGACGAUAAUGACGGUACCCGGAGAAGAAGCCCCGGCUAACUUCG